AUUUGUGAAGGAUUUUGUAAAUCUUAAAUUAGCUAGUAUUAUUAGUCAUAUUUAACUCUUCCUGGUCCCAUUUGGGGUUUUCUUGGCAAAGAUACUAGAAUGGCUUCUCAUUUCCUUCUCCAGUUCAUUUUACAGAUGAGGAAACUGAGGCAAACAGGGUGAAAUGACUUGCCUAGGGUCACACAUCUUGUUUCUGAGGACAUUAACUCCGGAAAAGGAGUCUGGUCCUGACUCUGGACCAGAUGCUUUAUCCACUGUGCCACCUAACUGCCACAGAAGGCCUUCAGCAGAGCAGUGGACAAGUUCAGAUAAGAAAACUGAGGACUGAAGUGAUGAAAUGACUUCCUUGAAGGUUACAAAGGUGGUAAGAGGAAGUUAGAAUAUGAAACCAGGACUUAUGAGAAAGAAUGCUAUCGACAUCUAAAGAAAGAACUGUUGGACAAAAAUUUGGAAAAUGAGGGGAUGCCCUUCAAUUGAGGAAUGGCUGAACAAAUUGUGGUAUCUGUUGGUGAUGGAAUACUAUUGUGCUCAAAGGAAUAAUGAACUGGAGGAAUUCCAUGUGAACUGUUCUGGGAGCCAUCAGACCAUGACUCCUUGACAGAGUCACACAUGGUAGCUGGGGAGACCACAGAGUGGUCCUCGGCGAGAUGUGAUUGCCCACCCAAUCCCUCUUCACAUGACCUCUUUCAUCAAUGCUCCUUACAUAUGAAUUGAUAUGAUUAUUAUUCCCCCUAGUCUCAAAAGAAAUAAUACAAGAGCAAAACACCUGUACCCUAAUUCCCCAAAACAUCACCAAAAGAUCAGACCUUAAAACCAAUCCCAAAAAGACUAUCAUGGAUUAACUUUUAUUUAGGUACAUAAUUCUCAGCAAAACUGCAGCUACAGACCAAGCCCAGAACUUCCCCACUCAUAGAAACCUAUUCUCAUGAAGCCAGCACACAAAUCAAUCAUAGAGGCCCAAACGAUAAGUUCAUCAAACUUCAGUAUGCCUCAGUGACUCGAUUACACAAAUCAGUAACUCAGAAACUCCCUAGAAGCCAUCAGUCUAAAUUUGAAUUAUGUUCCCAGUACCCCUCAGCCUCAAUGAUAUGAUUGUUGAAUUGUCUUUUGAGAACUGCUGAUUAAUUAUUCCAUUUUAUUAAAAGUAAUAAGUAAUUUUCCAUGAUUGUUUGUAAGCUCAAAACUUCUCACAGGGUAAUGAGAAAAUUAAGCCACCUGUGACAAAAUCAUUCAUCUGGUGUGCAACCUUUAUUCUGUCUUUAAUCCGAUACAAAAAUAUAGAAUGUUAAUCAAGUGAUUUGUUAAAAGUUAAUGUAUCACUUUUCCAAUUAUCUCUCUUUGAACAUGUGUGUUAGGUAAUGCAAUCUGCAUGCCAAGAAAAUGGGUAUAAAAAUAAAAAACAGACAUCGGGAUAGCA
rnacentral:lncRNA from 1 species